CAAGACUAAAACAGGUGCUCGUUGCAACGUGACUGGAGAGCGUCGGGCGUGACAGGCAGUUAGCAGUGAUAGUCCAUCGACUCAGCUGUCACUGCGGAAUUUGGAUAUUUGACACCAUCUUUCUUCAUUUUCGGUCUUUCUUCAUACCUGCCAAAUGUUUGGUCGGCAGGCUGGAUGGCGUUACCAUACAGCUCACUGGGGUAAAGUGAUGAGUUCAUUAACUGUGGUGCCAAAUCCUCCCGGAGUCCCCCACCACCCAGGCUCUGCAGCCAACAAUCAGUGAGGUGGAUAAACUAUUACCACAAUAUUUGUUUACCUUGACAAAGAAGAUGGGAGACAACUCAUGACUGGAGGAGCUUAUUUUGAUGAGGCGUGAAAUGCAAGUAGUGACACAGCAGAUUAGGCGGAGCAGAGAUGAUAUUGGUAAUCAGACAGCACUCCCAGUGGCAGCUAUCAGUGCAGGCAAUGACGUUACCAGUAGUCGUCCAAACAUGGGGUCCUACGCUACCAGCACUGAAACGCUUUAUUCCCAAUCAAUAUACAAGCUAAUGAAAUAUUAAUAGUUCUGAACAAAAUGCUACAAAAUCGUUGUUGUUGGUCCCUAAUCAUAGGCUUCUCUGAAAUCAAAUGAGCUCAAUAGGUUCUUUGCCUGUCAGUCUGCCAGUAAGACUAGCACGCAGGCCAUCCACUGUGGACUAACUAACAGGGAUUCCGACAAAAUUAAUUGAAUCUUAUGCACAUGAGUAUUGUUCACCACUGAGUGCACAAAACAGCAUAAAUCACCCACAACCCAAAUGCAAUAGGGAAAAAAAGGCAUCUCUUUUCCACUGAUGCAUGAUCAAGAUUUUUAAUUUCAUGAUGACUAGUGUUAACGAUGGGCAGACAACUCUCUCAGGCUACAGCAGCACAGAGAUACAUUGAACAUUACAUUAAGUUCGGAAUAAAAUAUUUAUGAAUUGGCUUCUGAUAUAACUGCAUCAAAUGAAAUUACAGAAGGGCUGGGCUGGUGGUGGCAGUGUUUGUCUGCCUACGGUCGGGCCAUGGUAAUGAGGACUGGUAGCUGGGCGGAAGUGCCGACCAAACACUCAGCUGAUUAUGACAAUGAUGGGGGUUUUGAGGAUAAGGACCAUAAAAGACAAUAAACCAAUGUUACAGAGCUGGAGCAACUUGAGCAUGUAUUGAUCAGAUAAUUUGUGCACGUAGGGCAGCUAAUAUCACACAAUUACCGCGCGAGGAGGUGCAAACCAAAGGAGGGACAGCAGCAAAUGAUCAAUAAUGUAUAUAUAGACAUCCGCUUUAUUUAGGUACGGCUAAUUGAUCAAUUCCUACACAAGUAUUUGGUGAUAUUCAAACCUGACCAUAAAUAUGGCAGCGAGUGCCGAUACUUUUUCUAAGUAGGGUUACGCUGCGUACAUAUGGCUGUCAAUCACUUGCUGGCCCCGUAUCUGUCAAUCAUUACUUGGACGAUAUCAAGACAAUGUUACUAGAAGGAAAGGUACUGGAUAAAGGUCAAAGGCUGAUGUCACUUGUCUUGCUGUAGAAAUGGAAUUAUUGUAUCCAUUAGGUGUCAGAUUUUAUGGGGUCUUACUCUCAACGAUUUAAAAAAAAAAAGCAUAAUACUUAUACAGUUUUAAAGGUCUGCAGAUUUCAGUGAGAUGAUGGAUGUUGGACGGGGCCAGAAGACAUUAAAUUGUGCAUGGAAAGGGGCCAAGGAUUUGCUAACCUCAUUUUGAGGUUACUGGUUUCCUAAAGAGGUUAUUGUCAGAGCUGUACUUAUUCUAUGUACUAUUUCACGCUUUCAAUACAAGUUUGGCAUUGCAUGUGGAAUUUCAGAGGAGCAUUUUUUUUGGUGUGAUUUAUGUGUUGGGAAGUUUAAGUGUAUGUAUUGAUAGGUUACACAACUGCUACACAGCUAUCCUGUAGAAAAGCAAACAUUUCAAAAUCCCAAGCAGCAAAAAAAAAAAAACCAGACGUCUUUACCAACAUUGGCGUCUGCGGGGGAAAAAAAGUUUUGAAACAUUUUAAAUGGCAUCAGGUUAAAAAAUAUUUUCCACAAAAUCAACAUUAU
rnacentral:lncRNA from 1 species